CUCUGCCCAGCCGCCCCCGGGCCGCGCGCACAUCUGCACGGAACUUCGCUCCGCGCGGACUUCCAGCUGCCACCGCCGCUGCCCCGCCGCGCCCCCCCGGCUCAUCCCAUCGCCGACUCCGCGCCUCGAAGCCAUGAGAAAACAGGAAUUAAGCACCAGCAAAGGAAGAAAAUUGACAGUGGAAACCAAGCUAAGGAUUAUUCUGUGAUUCGAGCCGCUGGUGUAGUAACUGCCUAAGAAAUAAAUGCAUUCAGGAAAAGUAGGAAUCUCAACAUAGGAAUCACAAGAGGCAACAGCAUAGGCAAAAAAGUCACCUAAAACUGCCAAUUGGAAUCGUUCUGUAGAGGGAUGCAUCUUAAAUAUUGUCUUUCUUUGCGUCUGAGACACCUUAUUCUGGGAUGGAAGAUGGCGUUUCCUUCCACAUAAAUCAUCUAUUGAAGUUAAGAGCCUCAGGCCUUUCUUACAAGGUCCAAUAAAGGGGUUAGUUCAUUCUUCUAAA